CAGUUCUAUCGCUAAGCAUAUGACCACAGCAUUCUCGGAAUUAGCAUAACUCACAUGAAGAGAAAAUUAGAGUUGCACACUAGUUAUCAAUAGCAUCGUUGUUUAGAGUUACUCUUUUUUCACCGUUUAUUGCCUGAAAUUGCCCAUUUGAUUUAGAGAAUUAAAAUCCAAGUUAUCGUUGAGAUUCAUGUAAAUAAGCUUCACAGGCAAUAAUAUCUUACUUCAUUGAUCUAGGACUAUCAUGCUAAAAUUCUCCAUAUAGUCAAACAUAUAACUAUAGAAAAAUGCAAUGGGAUGUGUAGAAAUGUUGCACAUUAUAAAUGAAUUUGAUUAGACUCAUGUGAAAAAAGGCAUGCACUUACAGGUUACGUCCAUCCUUGUAGAAACGUCGACCUCCAAAGUUCUUGGUUGGGUACUUAACAGCAUGUCAUUGGCUAAUUCCUUUAGUUAGGAGAAUAUGGCUAGCAUUAGCCAUGAUGCAACACUCCCCUUGAGUUGGCUCUCGUAUUCUGAAUAGUUACAAAUUACUGCAAUAGUUAUACAACUAUUGAUAUCAUAAGUUUGAGAUUAAAAGAGAAAACUUACUCCCAUCAUCAAAAAAGAAAGGGUUAGACAUCAAGCCAAAACAUCACAACCAUAAAACAAGUCUAUAAGACAGCUCACCAGAGAAAAAUAGAGUUAAUCUUCGAACAAGUCACAAGAAGAUUUUGAGACUUAACCAUUCAAGCAUCAGCAUCCAGAAUAGUACCCUCGUUAAUAACUCGGGAAACGCAUGGGUUAUCAAUCGCACUCUCAUUAUCAUUCGCACUCUCAUUAUCAUUCACCAUGUGCUUACCUCCCUGGCCGUCCAGAUCCUCCAACGGUCCAGGUCAGAACUCCAGAUGAAACACCCUUACCCUUAAUAGAGUAACGAACAACACAAUUUCUAAACCAAGGAGUAUGCUCAGAGACUUUUAUGGCCUUUAGAAGGAAGAAAGGAAUAAGUGGAGGAGGUUCCAUCAACUUCAGUGCACCAGAAGAAGACCUUUUCUUGUUCGACCCAACAGGUAGCUUCGCCAACGAGGUCGGUGGAGUUACGACCUGGGGGCGAGGAACAAGGUCGGAGGAUUUUGAACUCCCACCAGAUCGAGGUUUGUCGGUCGGACCAGAUUUCCUCAUCGCAGCAAGAAAAUUACUUCUAAUCACCCUUCUUCGUUCGACCUCGUCCUCAACAGUCUUGCGACCUCCUUUCAGUGUAAACAGCUCAGUAAGAUGAGGUAGGGUCGAAAUUUUGCGAUCGUUUUUCCACGAUCCAAACACGUUCAGAACAGCAGCAACAGAAGACAACAGAAAAAAGAUUGUUUGGUCGAAAUAACUCAGUAAGAAGACGAGGUCCUAGAAACCUAAUCUCAACAUUUUCUAGACCGACUAGACCAUACUUCCGGCGAAAAUCCUUAUGCCUCUUCACAUAUUUUUUUAUUCAGAACUCGAUGAAAACUAUUAUCCUCACCCUCUACCAUCUCAUCAUCAGAGCUAUCUUCCCCAUGCGGGCCACUACUACCAGGGCUAUCCACAUCCAACUGGCGCUCCCUAGGCCUUUCCAGCGUACUUCCCACCUGCAACAGGUGAACCGUCAUCAACUUUGAUACCAUCUGUAACGCCCCAGGAUUUCGUCCUCGCUUAUCCCGGUGUGUCAAGCACCAUACCGCUCAUUAAUGUCAAUAUUGUCCCCAUUUAAUCACUGCGGAUAUCCAGCAGUAGAGGGUUUUGAAUCAGGGCCCACCCAUGUGGUCUACCCCAAAAGGCCUUGACAUUAGUUAGAGUAUGGUUAAGCUCUAUAUACUACCAAUACAACCACUUCCUUGGCAAUCUGGGACUAACACCAACUCAUGGGUGUUACACUAUCUUUAUCCCUCACCUUUGUUUCAGCAACUCUUCAAGUAAAGAGCUAUGCUACAUGUUUUAGUUUAUUUUGUUGGUACUGUGAACUUCAGUAGAUGUCAUUAUAAGCAACUUUAUGUUGCUUUUAUGUUAUUCAAGUUUAACAUCUAAUUCUUCUUACAACAAAUUCUGAUCUUAUAAACUUAGUGACAAUUGUCUCCGAAAAUUCAAAACAGGAUAGCGAUAACCAAUUACCCCCAACAAAAACGGAGUUGCUACUAAUUCAGCGAAAUGGAAAAAUAACAAAAGCUAACCGAGCAAGCCUAUAUAUUCCUUUAAAAAAUAUCACCACUUCUGACGUGAAAAAUGACCAACGAUGUUGUCAAUGGAAAAUGAUUUGAGUGUGGGAUAGUCAACAGAAACUAUUUGCUCCAAGAUACACUAGACAUAGCACUGGAAUAAACAACAAAAAGGUGAAGCUGGUUUUACAUGUUUAAAGGAAGUUUUUUUUUUUCUUUCUUUCUUUGUGCAUGCCAAUAGCCAUAUGCAAACCACACUGUGCCCUUCAAAAAUACGAACUUCAUUGUCUCCAAAGCCAAUUAUGUCUUGCCAACAUGUCAGCUACUACUUACUAGUGAAGAGAGUUUCCAUUUUGUGUAUCGUAGGCAUCUUUGGCGACAGAGCACCUAUGAGCGUUUCGUCUAGAUGGGCGACAAAAUGUCCUCAUGCAAUUGUUCAUUUCUUUAUGACUAGAUCCUUGGUUGUAAACAGGUUCAAAAACAAAAGGGAAAAGUAUUAAAGAACUAAAAGGAGUCAGCUGAGGUACACAAUACUGUAUGAAAAAAGUGCAGAUUACCAAGUUGCAUGAGUAGUAACUAUAAAAUUAUCCCAUAACAAGUUUACCAAUCAACUUCUAACAUUUCGAGGAUCAACUAACAUAAAGAAUGGUGGUUACAAUUACAUCUGAAUAACAAGAUGUAAUAGCCUAUCAUGUACACCUACAUACAUACUAAAUUACUAACCAAAUAUCCUAGCAAAUAUAUUCCUUGAAAAUUCAUCAGCUGACCUGUCAUAGUGUCACAUAAUCAGCUAAUCAGCUAUGGCCCAUCCCACAGCUCCGGAAUGUACCUACAUAUGUCAAGCAAUACCAUAUAAGCGUAGAUGAUUAUGUUUUCAAUCAGUAAAGAUGGAGAUUUCAUUUUCAGCAUAAGAACAUAUAUAGUAGGACGAGGUUACUAACGAGUACAAGCAUAACACCAAGAAAAUAUAUGAAGUAAAAGAAAAAGACAAACAGAUGUCCAUCAACCCACUUACCUAUCCCUACAUACAAACAAAUAAAUUUGAUACCACAACGACGCGAUCAAAUGGGAUGCCUAGCACCUCCUUCAACAACUUACACCAGUAAUAUGAUGGCUUCCGACAGAACAAAAUAUUCUCAUCAAGUUCCAUUCUACAUGCUCUAAGUCCCUCCUAAUAUUUUC
rnacentral:lncRNA from 1 species